UGUGCAGGAUCAGCCGCUGGUGUCAACAAUCAAGUAACGAUGGCCAGGACUGUUUUUUGAGGAGGAGGUUUGUGCUGAAUUCUUCCGCAUCAACCGUAUUGACCUGAAGUCAACAUUCCUGACAUCGCUAGACAAUCACACCCAGGGGUUGCUGAAGAUGUACAGAGCCAAAGCAAGACAGGGAAGGUGGAACAACUUGGAUGAACUUCUGGAGAAACUGGAUGCCCAGACCACAGAUCUAACUGCUCAUAGAAGGUCUGCUGUUCUUCAUGGUUGGUCUUCCCCUGUACUUGAGAGAGCCAGCUUCGAUUUUAAAGACUAUUAAGGAGACUGAGGCACUGGGGCCACACACAAAGGCCAUGAAAAUGGGGAUCCUGGAAGUGACUGACAGUUCUACCAACUCAGGACCAUAUCCCACAGCGGUUAAUGUGGCUAUUGAGGUAUUUCACCUGACG